AGGGCUGUAGCCCAGUGGUAGAGCAUUUCUUUUGCAUGCAGAAGGUCCCAGGUUCGAUUCCUGGCGUUUCCA